CCUUCAUAACUUUAUAAAACCAUGGAAUUCAAUCCACCAAAUAUACAACUCAUUUUAAUUAUUUUGAAUUGUUGCAUAAUGCCCCUACCAAAUUUAAGAACAGGACAUGAUAUCAAAGAUCUAUAGAAAUAAAUCCCCAGAUACAGCCAUACAGGCUCUAUUCAUGCCCCAGGCUUACUCUUCUAAGGUGAGUACAAAUAAUUCCACCAAACAAUGUUAGUCAUAUUGGUUUCAAAUACUAAAAUUCUUCUACUACAUAUCUAUAAAAGACUUCACAUUUCCCAUCCAUCGUAUCAACUCGGAUUUAUCUUUCUUCUUAAUAUAUCUGUGCAGGAAUACAGCUAGUUCGUCAUUUACACCCCUCUUUUCCAAGUAUUCAUAAAGUGAAUUCUGCAGCUCAUCAUCCAAAUCCCUGCAUAGUCACAAAC
rnacentral:lncRNA from 1 species